CACAGACAGUUUUGUUUCUUUCCAAGCUGGAUGCAUUUAUUUCUUUUUCUCACCCAGGUUUUCUGGCUAGAACCUGCAACACAGUGUUGAAUAAAAGUGGUCAGAGCCACCCUUGAAAUUGUUCAUGAACUUGAGAAGAAGGCUUUGUGGCCACCAAGUGUGCUGUUAGCUGUGUGCAUGUGUGUGUGUGUGUGUGUAUGUGUGUGUGUGUGUGUUUUCAACUUAACCCCAACCAGAUUGAAGGUGUUCAUUUCUAUUCCUAUGCAUUGUUUUAUUUUUAAUCAUGUAAGGAUUUUUAUUUUGUCAACUGCCUUUUCUGUAUUUAUUGAGAUUACUAUGGUUUUGGGUUUUUGUCUAUUAAUAUAUUAUGUUAAUUGAUUUUUUAGGGGUUAAACUAACCUUGCAUUCUGGGGAUGAGUCUCACUUGGUCACAGUAUCUAACACUUUUCCUGUUACUGGAUCAUAUUUAUUACUGUCCUGUGAAAGAUGUCACAUUAAUAUUCACCAGUGAUGUUGGUCUCUGGUUUUCUUUUCUUUUUAACCCUUCGAUGAACAUCUUCCCAAUCUUCGACCCCACCUCCUAGCCUCUGAUAAUCACCAUUAUAUCUUCUACCCUAAAAUGUUCAAUUCUACAUGUAGUGGACCCCAUGCAUAUAAGUGAGACUGGGUCUCACAUUUGUCUUUUUUUUUUUUUCUAGUAUGGGGGAUGGAACACAGUCCUUUUUAUUAUUUAUUUUGAGACAAGUUCUCUCUGUGUCACUAAGUUGCUCAGGCUGGCUUAAACCUGUGAUCUUUCUGGCUCAGCCACCCAUGGGGCUGGAAUUACAAAUGUGUAUCUCCAUGACUGAUUGAUAUUUUCCCUUUUUGUGCCUGACUUAUUUCAUAUAAUGUAAUGUCCUCUAGAUUUAUUUCUAUAGUCACAAGUGACAAGAUUUCCUUCUUUUUAAAGAGUGAGUGAGGGCUACAUUAAUGAAUUUAGGGCUACAGAAAGAGACUGCCUCAAAAAGUCAAAUACACAAAUAAAUAAUAAAGACUGAGUAAUAUUCUACACAUAUACACACACAUAUAUGUUAAUCUAUUUUCUCUGUAUAUUUUAUUCAUUCAUUUGGUGGACUUGGGGUGAUUCUAUUCCUUGGCUGCUGUGAACAUGGAGGUGAGCGGACAUCUCCCCCACCUCUGGAUAGUUUUCCUUUGCAUAAGCAUGAGCCCUGGGAUGACUGAAUCUUUUAAGUCUAUUUCCCGUUCUUUGAGGAAUCACCAUGCUGUGGUCCACGGUGAUUUCCAUCUCCACAGGCAGUGUUCAAGGGCUCCCUUUUCCCUACAUCCUCACUAAAGCUUGCCAUCUUUCCUUUUUGGAUGACAGUCAUUCUGCAGGUGUGAGGUGAUAUCAUGGUGUGGUUUUAGCUUGCAUUUCUUUGAUGAUUAGCCACAUAUCUGCUGGCUACCUUUUAUGUCACCUCUGGAGAAAGAUGUAUGAUUGGCAACUAUUUCCUCCCAUUUGGUAGGUUGUUUCCUCCCUUUGUUUUUCUUGGCUAUGAGGAAGCUUUUUAGAUUGAGACCCAUGCUCACCAAAUCAUCUGGGCUGGCCUCAAGCCUGCAGAGACAGAAGUGUCUGGGAUACCAGGUGUGCACCACCAUGCCCAGCUCCCACCUUAGUCUCCAGUUCAUUUUGGUUUUGGCAUGUGGGUGAGAUGAAUAUAAUUUUAUUCUUCACAUAUUGAUAUCCAUGUGGUUUAUUAACCCUGUGUAUUGAUAAGAUUGUCCUUUCCCCAUCACACAUUCUGGGUACUUUAGUCAGAAUCAAUUACCUGUCGGUGUGUGGGCUGAGGCCUGAGCUCUCUGCUGUGCUCCGUUGAUCCAUGGGUCGUUUCUGUGCCUGUGCCAUGCUCUUUUCAAUACUACAGUUUCAAGCUAUACCUUGAAAUCAGUCAGUGUGGCACUUUCCACUCUGCUGUCUUUGCUCAUGCUCGCUUUGGUUACUCAGGGUCUGUUGUGCUUCCAUGUGAAUUUUGGGAUUGCUUUUUCUAUUUCUGUGAUUGAAAUACUACUAAGGAUCACACUUAUCCUGGAGAUCAGGGGUCUGCAAUAGUUUGGCUUGCCUGGGCUUUGCUGAAUGAAAAGGGAUUGCCGUGGGCUGCACAUAAGAUUUGUGAUAUAAUUAAAGUAUAUAAGCAACAAAACUUAUUUUGUUUUUAUAUUUUCAUCAUAACUGUUCUCAUAUAAGUGAUGUACAUGACAUUAUAACAAUAUCAUGAGCAAAAAAGUGUGUGACUCACUUUUGUGCUUCCUAUACCACAGCUGCUAAAAAUCUUAUUUUAACUUGUUGAAUUAUUCAAUGAAAUAGUGCUACUGCAGUUUAAUAGUUAAGAAGAGAACUUACGAGUCUGUUUACAGUGAACUGUCUUCAUAGGCACCCACAUGUAGGUAAGUUCAAAUAUCAUUAUUAAUAAUUACUGCAUUUUAUUUCACAAGCUAUAAAGGCAUGGGUAACAGCUGCAUCAUGGGGGUUUCAAUACCAAUUUUGUGUGGUGGGCACAGGAAACAGAGUUGGCAUGAACAUAUUGCUAAACACUUCAUAAUAGUGUGAAAAGCUUCUGAUCUUGUGGAGCUGUAUUAUUAGCUGUCCAGGGCUGUGCUCUCUCCUUCCCUUUCUCUCUCUCUCUCUCUCUCUCUCUCUCUCUCUCUCUCUCUCUCUCCUUUCUUUUCUUGCUUUUUGUGAUGCUGGGGAGAAACCCAAGGUCUUUACAUUGAGCUACAUUCCUGGUCCUUUUUCAUUUUUAUUUUGCGACAGGCUUUCACUAAGUCACUAAGUCUCCUGUAAAGGUCUCAAACUUUUCUUUUCGUAAUGUGUUUAUCAAAUCCUUAAAAAUACCUUGUUUGACUGUAGAAUUCUAAAAUCGUAUUUUCCAAAAUUUAUCCCAUAUUACAGAACAAUUAUAGAAAAGGAAUACAGAAGUCGCUGAAUCUGCUUCUUGUUAAAUGCUUAUUUGGUAAACCUUACCUCGUUCACUUCAUCUUUCUCAUUGUAACCAGUGCCGUCAUCUCCAGGGGCUUCCCUGGUACAUUGCAAAGCUGAUCUUAGGAACUCUCAGGAACUUCAGGGGGGAAAACAAUUGAAGAAGGACUCAUUGGAAAUGGAUUUGGUCACAGCAUGAGCCGUUCCACAUCCCUUAUGCUUCUGCUCCUUUUUAAUGGUUUUCAAAGUGAGGUUUUUCCCCUCUUUCCAAUGUUUGGCACUCUGUACAGGCCAUAAUUUUGGUCCAUCAACUGAAAAAGGGAUCAGAAUCAUCUGGCUUAGAUCUCAUCCUAUACUUCCUUUAUGAAACAUUCUUUGGGUUCAAAGUGCACUUCUAGGAUAAAACUCAUAGGGUGGCCAGCAUCUGAGGACUUCUCUUUAAUGUCUUUCAGCUGUUCAGACCAGGUCGUCGCACACCUGAGCCAUGUCCUGGAGAAGUCACAGUCUUAAAAACAGUCCAUCAAAAUUCAGGAAUUCUGUGGCUAUGCAAGCAAAAGCACCAGGAGGCUCCAUCAGAGACAGCUGCCUUGGAUGACGGUGCACCAGCAGGGCCCUCUUGAGAGACACAGUGUGGGCAGCCAGACAGCACAGCCAGGACGGAAGCCAGGUGUGCACACCCACUCAGCCGCGUACGGCCGCCCUGUGUCAGCGCCUACAUCUUCAAGCAACAACGUACUUGCUCAUCUCUGCCCCAAGCAACCACCCUCUCUGUUUCUUGUUCACUGCCCUUCCUGCCCUGUCAGUCCCAACAGAGGAGAAAAGUCCCAAGGCCUGGCAGUCCCCUGAGUAGCUGGAGGGCACUACAGAGGAGGUGCUGCUAGCCUGGGAGCUAGUGGCUUGGCCCAGGUCAAGCCUGGCACUGAUGUGCAGGUGCCCUGGAAAGCCCCUUCUGUGUGCCCUUGGCCCAGCUGCCCCUGUUGCAGUUAACCCUCUAGAGACCUCCCCAGUGCUCCGGGGCAGUCGCUAUCCUCAGUGCUGUGCUGGGAUCACAGCAGGGAAUGAGACAAAGUCCCUCACGUUCAGAUGGAGGGAAAGACCAUCUAGGCGAGCAAGAAUCACCAAGGAGGCAGAGAGAGGGGUGAGACUCUGCCUUUCUGGCAAACGCUUCUCCGGGAGCAAUCAGGAGGACAGAUGCAAAGAGGCAGUGUCCCUGGACAGCUCUGAGGAACACGUGUCCUGGGCAGAGACCAAUAAGUGCAGAGAUCCCAGGACAGAACAGAAGCUUGGUGCGUUUGCAGUGUGGACAGAGGGCCCAGGGAGGAGGUGAGGACCGAGAUGACACAGGCCAGCUGACAGGAACCUGGGGGCCAUAGCACGUGUGUGCUCUGACUUCCAGGAGGGAGGAUGAGAAGCCCUGGAGAGUUUUAAGAAACAGCAACUGAAUGUGGGUCCACAGAGCCUCCAGCCUAUUGUGUGAGGACUGGGCUGCAUAGGGCAGGGGUCUUGGUUCUUUUCGCUCAUUUUUGGCCAGGGCCCUCAAAUAUGCCCCUGGAAAGGCGGUGUGAUUUGUGACAAGGGAAGUGAGAAUGUCACUACCUUAUAUGCUGGAACUAGGCUCUGGGUGCAACAGCCAGCCAGCUCUUGGGGGAACUUCCAGGCGCCUUCUCAGGUCAACAGGCUCAUUGGCUGGGUUAAGCUAAACUCACCUCAGUGUUGACGCCCAUGCCAGUCUGGUUCCCAGUCUCCCAGCCUCUUCCCCCAUACCCAGUGUCCAGGCUGACCUGAGGGCUCAGAGUUCUGGGUGCCCCUCCUUCCUGCCUCCGGCGCUGUGCAGUCUCUUCCCUCCACCUGGAGCAUGGCCUGUUCCACACCAGUUCUUCUUCAGCUGUCUUCCAAACUCUUUCUCAGCAUCCAUGUUCUUCAUGGAGCCAUUUUUGUUUCCUAGGAUCAUAAAAGCUUUUCAAAAUAUUUUUUAAAUUAUGAGGAAAUAAAGAUUUACCACUUUAACCACUCAGAGUAUACAAUGAAGCAUUAGGUGCAGCCAUGGUGCUGUGGGACCGCCAUCCACCCUCCAUUUCCACAAGUUUUUCAUCAUCCUAAACGGAAGCUCUGUGCCCAUAUAAAAGCUUUUAAUGGAGUAUGUAUUCAUCAAAACACUUCCAGUUAAAAGAGACAAAAAUUUGAAGAUUCCAAGGAAAUAAUCCAUUGGCUCAUAAAGAUGAAAAGUUCAGGUUUGCUUUUAGACAUGGCUGGCUCCAGAAAGCCAAACAGCACCAAGCAUAUGGCUCUCUCAUUCUUUUAGCUCUGUUUCCUCAAGUGCGAGCUUCAUUGUCAAGCAGGCUCUCACUAUCUAAGUAGCAAAGUCAGCUUACAUUCCACCAGCUCAGCAACCCCUUCAGGAAAGACUCACUUCUUUCCCAGUGAUUCCAGAAGAAAUCCCGGGGCUGACACUCUUUGGCUCAGUAUGAGCGCUCUGGACUGUGGCCAGAAACCUAGAACACGCUGAUUGGCCAGGCCUGAAUCAUGUGCCCUACACCCAAUCAAGGAGGCCACACCCACCUUGGCGGUACGGCCUGAGGGUGGGGAACCAGCCCUCCAUAGGAAAAGCAAAGUUCUGUCCCAAGAAAAAGGGAAGCAAGAACUGGACAGGCAUUAAGCAACAUCUGGCCCACCUCUAUGGCCCUUAAAAAUGCACUUCCUCCUGUGCUAGUCUCAGUAAUGGCUCCACCUUGACUCAGAAGGCCUACGCCUGGGCCUGGAAAUCUCCUUAACACCCUCUUCCCUGUUCUGCCCUGCACCUUCCUCUUGAGUGUUUCUGAAGCUCCUUUCCCUGCCAGCCAAGGUCAGGCCAUGCUCUCACCUCCUGGAUCUCUGGUGGCCUUCUAACCCCUCUUCCCACCUGCAGAGAGAUCUUCUCUGAAGUACAAGCCUCCCCUGAGGGCGUCCUCUUCAGCUUACAAGCCCCACACCCCCAGUUUGUAUCCAGUGGUGCUGCCUGCUUCCUCUGAGUUGCACCUAGGGAGGAUGUUACCUUUCAAAUGUUAGCCUCUGUGAGUCUUUAAGGAAAGUGAGGUUGAUAUAAGUCAGUAUUUGUAGAAUGCACAAAUCUUCAGCAUAGAGCUCAGUGCAGUCGUACACUGAGAUACGCUGUAUUUGCUCAGGUCAUCAUCCCAAAGAUCAGAGUCCUGCAGUCACAGCUUAUUGUCCUUCUUCUCCCCAAGUGGUUACCACUUCUAGAACCACAGAUCACUUUUGUCUUCUCAAAUUUACCUUGAGUUGAAUUGUAUAAAAGUUACAUUUUUGUGUUUUUAACAAUUGGAAUAAUGGUUUUGACUUUCCUCCCUGUUGUUUUAGACAGAAGUGUUCCUCUACUUUAUUUUUUAAUGGAGUUUUAAAAUUUUUAUUACUCUAAUUUGUGGACUGUGGAGGAAGAGAACAAGAAGUCACCAAGAAGCAAGCCCUCCCUGCAAAUCAGUGCCAUGCGUGGGCCACUGAGGGGACAGCUAGCUGCCAGCUUUUUCCUGUGAGUCAGCAUCAUUCGUGGACUGUGCGGGAAGAGAACAAAAAGUUAACAAGAAGCCAAGCCCUCUUUAUGAAUCAGUGCCAUGCAUGGGCUGCUGGGGGGAGAGCCAGAUGCCAACCUCUUCUGGUGUGUGGGCUAGGAAACUAGAAGAGCCCCUGCCACUGCUGUAAGCGACCGGCUGAUCUGGAAAACACAGGCUGCAAUUAUGGCUAUUGAGGUGGAAUACAAUUUAAUGCUUGUAGUGUUUAGUGUCUCACUGAUUUGCAGGUCUAGGGCCGGUGGUCUGAUCAUCUAUUUCAGAGGAUGGCAAUACACAGUGUAGCAUCUUUGGGGCUCUCCUUCUGAGGGUGGUGACCAUUGUCGAUUCCCUAUUGUCUUGUUUUGAGGUCCUGCAUCAUUUUCAUUGUCUUGUGUUGUCUUAUGUCUUGCCAUUGCCUUGUUAUGUUUUGUUUUGUUUGAUUUUAUUGUAUCUGAUGGCAUGGGCAGCUAUUUCAAAAAUAACAAGAUAUAUUAUGGUAGCCAUUUUGGAUUUACUAUUAUCUUGUUUUGAAGUCUUUUAUUGCAUUUAUUGUUUUGCUUUUAUUGGUUCUAUUCUGUUUUGGUUGAUUUUUACUAUGUCUGAAAGUAUCUGCAGCUAUUUUGAAGAUGGCAGGAGGCAUUAUGGUAGCCAUUGUUGAUUUUCCAUUAUUUUGAAGUCCUGUGUCGCUUACACUGGUUUGUUUUGAUUAGCUUUGUUCUGUUUUGUUUUUCCUAGUUUUAUUCUCUUAAAAAUAAAAAUAAUUUUUUUAUUACUCCA